AGAGAAUAGAUACCCUGGUAGUCCACGCCGUAAACGAUGAUCACUCGCUGUUGGCGAUACACAGUCAGCGGCUAAGCAAAAGCAUUAAGUGAUCCACCUGGGGAGUACGGCCGCAAGGCUGAAACUCAAAGGAAUUGACGGGGGCCCGCACAAGCGGAGGAAACAUGUGGUUUAAUUCGAUGAUACGCGAGGAACCUUACCUGGGCUUAAAUGUAGAGUGCAUUGGUGAGAAAUCAUCAUUUUCUUCGGAACUCUCUGCAAGGUGCUGCAUGGUUGUCGUCAGCUCGUGCCGUGAGGUGUCGGGUUAAGUCCCAUAACGAGCGCAACCCUUAUCGUUAGUUGCCAGCGGGUAAUGCCGGGGACUCUAGCGAAACUGCCGGUGUAAACCGAGAGGAAGGUGGGGAUGACGUCAAAUCAGCACGGCCCUUAUGUCCAGGGCUACACACGUGUUACAAUGGCCGGUACAGAGGGCAGCUACCUGGAGACAGGAUGCGAAUCUCGAAAGCCGGUCUCAGUUCGGAUCGGA
rnacentral:rRNA from 1 species